AGGAUAAAUGCCCCAGAGCUUUGAUCGUCCCCUUGGUGCUUUGUACAGUACCACAGUGAAUGGGGCGGCAUUAGAAGGCAAUGACUUCAGUUAAAGGCUUCUGGAAGUACAUUUGGAGGACCUAUAUUGACUCUAAGGUUACACAUUCCAGAUUGAUGGACCAUCCUGUGACAACCUUUAUGUCAAGUAGGCUUUCUCAGUUUCUCUUCCAUCUCAGCCUCUGGGAGGAAGAUGGAGGUACAGAGAAAAAUCCAUAGAAACAUACAGAUGUAAACGCAGACGUGUUUAGAACAUCACAGAAACACCAAAGAAUAAAAAGCCAAGUAAAAUUCUUCAGUAUGGGUCUGUCCACGUCUCCCAACGCAGAGAGAAGCGAUUUCGAGUGUGUCUACACAAGCGCUGAAGAAAAACACAAACAAACAAACAAACAAACAAACAAAAAACAUACAGAUCUCUCUGAAAAUGGCUUGUAAUUUCUUUGGUUCCUCAAUCAUCUGCGAUGGGCAGUCUAGGCUGUAAAAUAAAGGCUAGACUUUAUGUCAACCAUA